rnacentral:rRNA from 1 species
CACGCCGUAAACGAUGGAUACUAGGUGUAGGAGGUAUCGACCCCUUCUGUGCCGGAGUUAACACAAUAAGUAUCCCACCUGGGGAGUACGGCCGCAAGGCUGAAACUCAAAGGAAUUGACGGGGGCCCGCACAAGCAGUGGAGUAUGUGGUUUAAUUCGAAGCAACGCGAAGAACCUUACCAGGGCUUGACAUCCUCGGACGACACUAGAGAUAGUGUUUUCUCUUCGGAGACUGAGAGACAGGUGG